AAUGGGGGCAACCCUGAUCUAGCCAUGCCGCGUGAGUGAUGAAGGCCUUAGGGUCGUAAAGCUCUUUCGCCUGUGAUGAUAAUGACAGUAGCAGGUAAAGAAACCCCGGCUAACUCCGUGCCAGCAGCCGCGGUAAUACGGAGGGGGUUAGCGUUGUUCGGAAUUACUGGGCGUAAAGCGCGCGUAGGCGGAUUAGAAAGUUGGGGGUGAAAUCCCGGGGCUCAACCCCGGAACUGCCUCCAAAACUGCUAGUCUAGAGUUCGAGAGAGGUGAGUGGAAUUCCGAGUGUAGAGGUGAAAUCCGUAGAUAUUCGGAGGAACACCAGUGGCGAAGGCGGCUCACUGGCUCGAUACUGACGCUGAGGUGCGAAAGUGUGGGGAGCAAACAGGAUU
rnacentral:rRNA from 1 species